CCUACGGGUGGCUGCAGUGGGGAAUCUUGCGCAAUGGGCGAAAGCCUGACGCAGCAAUGCCGCGUGAGGGAAGACGGCCUUAGGGUUGUAAACCUCUUUCAGCAGGGACGAAAACAGACGGUACCUGCAGAAGAAGCCCCGGCUAACUACGUGCCAGCAGCCGCGGUAAUACGUAGGGGGCGAGCGUUGUCCGGAAUCAUUGGGCGUAAAGAGCGUGUAGGCGGACUGGAAGGUCUGGUGUGAAAGCCCGGGGCUCAACCCCGGAGGGUCACUGG
rnacentral:rRNA from 1 species